AAGUCGUAACAAGGUCUCCGUUGGUGAACCAGCGGAGGGAUCAUUACAGAGUUGCAAAACUCCCAACCCUUUGUGAACGAACCUACCAGUUGCCUCGGCGGCGAGCCCCCUGGGCGGACCGCCGGAGGAAUACAAACUCUUUGCAUUGCAGUAUCUCUGAUUACUUAUUCAAUAAGUUAAAACUUUCAACAACGGAUCUCUUGGUUCUG
rnacentral:misc_RNA from 1 species